GUGUGUGAUCCUGUAAAAUUAAGUCUUCCAAGAUGAUCUGGUAUAUAUUAAUUAUAGGAAUUCUGCUUCCCCAGUCUUUGGCUCAUCCAGGCUUUUUUACUUCAAUUGGUCAGAUGACUGAUUUGAUCCAUACUGAGAAAGAUCUGGUGACUUCUCUGAAAGAUUAUAUUAAGGCAGAAGAGGACAAGUUAGAACAAAUAAAAAAAUGGGCAGAGAAGUUAGAUCGGCUAACUAGUACAGCGACAAAAGAUCCAGAAGGAUUUGUUGGGCAUCCAGUAAAUGCAUUCAAAUUAAUGAAACGUCUGAAUACUGAGUGGAGUGAGUUGGAGAAUCUGGUCCUUAAGGAUAUGUCAGAUGGCUUUAUCUCUAACCUAACCAUUCAGAGACAGUACUUUCCUAAUGAUGAAGAUCAGGUUGGGGCAGCCAAAGCUCUGUUACGUCUCCAGGAUACCUACAAUUUGGAUACAGAUACCAUCUCAAAGGGUAAUCUUCCAGGAGUGAAACACAAAUCUUUUCUAACGGCUGAGGACUGCUUUGAGUUGGGCAAAGUGGCCUAUACAGAAGCAGAUUAUUACCAUACGGAACUGUGGAUGGAACAAGCCCUAAGGCAACUGGAUGAAGGCGAGAUUUCUACCAUAGAUAAAGUCUCUGUUCUAGAUUAUUUGAGCUAUGCGGUAUAUCAGCAGGGAGACCUGGAUAAGGCACUUUUGCUCACAAAGAAGCUUCUUGAACUAGAUCCUGAACAUCAGAGAGCUAAUGGUAACUUAAAAUAUUUUGAGUAUAUAAUGGCUAAAGAAAAAGAUGUCAAUAAGUCUGCUUCAGAUGACCAAUCUGAUCAGAAAACUACACCAAAGAAAAAAGGGGUUGCUGUGGAUUACCUGCCAGAGAGACAGAAGUACGAAAUGCUGUGCCGUGGGGAGGGUAUCAAAAUGACCCCUCGGAGACAGAAAAAACUCUUUUGCCGCUACCAUGAUGGAAACCGUAAUCCUAAAUUUAUUCUGGCUCCAGCUAAACAGGAGGAUGAAUGGGACAAACCUCGUAUUAUUCGCUUCCAUGAUAUUAUUUCUGAUGCAGAAAUUGAAAUCGUCAAAGACCUAGCAAAACCAAGGCUGAGCCGAGCUACAGUACAUGACCCUGAGACUGGAAAAUUGACCACAGCACAGUACAGAGUAUCUAAGAGUGCCUGGCUCUCUGGCUAUGAAAAUCCUGUGGUGUCUCGAAUUAAUAUGAGAAUACAAGAUCUAACAGGACUAGAUGUUUCCACAGCAGAGGAAUUACAGGUAGCAAAUUAUGGAGUUGGAGGACAGUAUGAACCCCAUUUUGACUUUGCACGGAAAGAUGAGCCAGAUGCUUUCAAAGAGCUGGGGACAGGAAAUAGAAUUGCUACAUGGCUGUUUUAUUUAUGAGGUUGACUGGGCUCAACUCAUGGUUCCUGCUCCAAAUCUGACAUGUAUUUGCCGUCAAAUGCCUGGCACUGGGGUAUCUUGAAGGCUAAGGUUGAGGCCUAAAUUCUGGCCAAUACAUGUGGCUGAGCUUCUUCACAGCAUAGUGACUGGAUUGCAAGAGGAAGCAUCCCAAAAGAACAAUGCAAAAGUACAUGGUAUUGUUAUGACCUACCCUCAGAAGUCACAGAUGUUAAUUCUGCUGUGUUCUGUUACAGCAAUUACAAAGGUCUGCCCAGCUUCAAGGAGAGGGCACACAGACCCUACCACUGCAGACGAAUGUCAGCGUCACAUAAAAAGAGCAUGUAGGAUGGGACAUAUUGGGAUGUAUUAUAUUUGGAAAAUGCAAUCUGCCAUAAUGUCAUAACCUUUGUUAACUUAAAAAAGAUAUUUUAGGCCAGGCACAGUGACACACGCCUGUAAUCCCAACACUUUGAGAGGCCGAGGCGGGCAGAUCACUUGAGGUCAGGAGUUCGAGACCAGCCUGGCCAACGUGGUGAAACCCCUUCUCCACUAUAAAUACAAAAAUUAGCUGGGCGUGGUGGCACACGCCUGUAGUACCAGCUACUCAGGAGGCUGAGGCACGAGAAUCACUUGAACCUGGGAGGCAGAGGUUGCAGUGAGCCGAGAUCGCGCCACUGCACUCUCCAGCCUGGAUAACAGAGCGUGGCUCCAUCUCAAAAAAUAAAAAUAAAAAAAAUAUAUAUAUUUUAUAUGUAGACUUAAUUUGGGUUAUUUCAUCACUUUUUCCAUUCCUUAGCCCUAUUUGAAUUACAUCUUUUUGCUGUCUGUAGUAUCUCACUCCCUACCAAAAUCUCUCUGUUCAGUCGAUUUCCUUUUUCUCUUCCUGCUACCUUCCCUGUUUCUGUUUUCUUUCCCUUCUUCCCUAUCUCCUUCCUCUCCGUAUGCCUCCUUUUCUCCCCAAUUCCCAAUCUGUAUUUCUCUCACAACUCCAUCUUGUUUCCAAAAGGAGGUAAGGUACAUUACAAAGAUUCAUAUAAAAAAAAGAGAAAUACCACAAAGGGAAAACCAGGAGAGGGUUAGUACGGUAUACAAAUUCAUGCUGCAAAGGCUUGCAUAUUUUCUAGAGGUGAGUCUUAGAGGUUGUACCAGUUUAUAUCCCAAUUUUAAGUGGGAUAUGUUUGUGAAGUAUGUUUGUCAGACUUUUUGAUCUAUGUAUCUUUCACUUAUUAAAUUAGCAGUUAUUGUGGCUUUAAUUUGCAUUUCUCUUAUUAGAGAGGUUGAGCAUCUUUUCAGAUGUUUAAAAGCCAUUAGUGUUUAUGUGUUCCUGGUUCUGCUUAUAUUUCUUUGUUUUAUGAAUAUUGAUGCUGUAUUAUUUGGCCCACUAUCUGUUUCUCCCUCUUAAUGUAAACACCCUUCCUGUUUUUCUAAAAUAGUUGUACAGCAUUUUAAUUGAUUAUCAUUUUUUUCCGUUAUUUAAAUACCAUUCCCAGAGGGGCACAUAGAAUAUCUCAAAUUACUUUUCCUCUCAUGCACAACUUUUUAAUUUCCUCAGAGUUUAAUUUUUUCAUUGGUUAAGUGUUCUUAGUUCUUUACUAUUAGUUAUGUAUUUAUCAUUGUAAAAUACCUUCUAUCUCAUUUAAUGCUUUUUACCUUGAUUUAAACUGUAUCUCAUACUAAGAUCAUAUCCUGUUUUCCUUGGAUAGCAUUUGCCCAAAAUCUUACAUUUUUGUGUUCUGUGUUUGUAAGUCACUUGUUUUAGAUGCAGCUCUGAUAUAAUAUGUAGCUGGGUUUUGCUCUGUGAUCUAAUCAGUCUAUACAUUCUACUUAUGUUGCUUUAAAAAAAUCUUUAUGAUCCAUGUUUCCUUUGCCUUGUUUUUUGUGAUUCUUUGGUUAAUUUAAAAGGUUUCCAUUUUUAUUCUAGGUUAUCUUUAUGACUAUAACUUUAUAUAAUCCUUUAACUUUCUCACUUUUAUUUAAUAUGUUUGAUUACCUUCCAUGAGAGAUGGCAAAACUGAGUAUUUUUAUUUUACAUUUAUUUAAAUAUUUCUUGAGCACCUACUGUUCUUGAGGUACUAUUGUUCUAGACAUUAAUGAUCAGUAAUGAACAAAACAGAUGAAAAUUUCUGCCUCCAUGGAGAUUACAUUCUAAUACAAUAAAAUACAUAUUUAUAUCUAUGUAUUGACUCAUUAGUUUUAAGUCAUUACUUUUUCCCUCUGGCUAUAAAUAAGUUCCUAUCUCAAAUUAUAUCCCCAGUCUUCCAUCCUGAUAGUUUUUUGUUAAUCAUUCCUUUGCUUUUUGUAGUUUUUUUACUUAUGUAUAUAAACCUAAAUGGCAUUUUAUUUUUGAAAAACUGAGUAGCAUGUACCAAACCUGCUAUAUAAGAACAAGUCCGUAUGUUCCCAAUAUUCUAGUAUCCAAUAUCAAGUCUAUAUAAUGGCAUGUUUUACUUUAUUCUACCAGCACUUUUGAUAACACCCUCUUGUUUCUUAUAGAUGAGUGAUGUGUCUGCAGGAGGAGCCACUGUUUUUCCUGAAGUUGGAGCUAGUGUUUGGCCCAAAAAAGGAACUGCUGUUUUCUGGUAUAAUCUGUUUGCCAGUGGAGAAGGAGAUUAUAGUACACGGCAUGCAGCCUGUCCAGUGCUAGUUGGCAACAAAUGGGUAUCCAAUAAAUGGCUCCAUGAACGUGGACAAGAAUUUCGAAGACCUUGUACCUUGUCAGAAUUGGAAUGACAAACAGGCUUCCCUUUUUCUCCUAUUGUUGUACUCUUAUGUGUCUGAUAUACACAUUUCCUAGUCUUAACUUUCAGGAGUUUACAAUUGACUAACACUCCAUGAUUGAUUCAGUCAUGAACCUCAUCCCAUGUUUCAUCUGUGGACAAUUGCUUACUUUGUGGGUUCUUUUAAAAGUAACACGAAAUCAUCAUAUUGCAUAUGUAAAACCUUAAAGUUCUGUUGGUAUCACAGAAGAGUUUAAAGUGAGGAAUUUUAUAUUUAAAGAACUUUUUGGUUGGAUAAAAACAUAAUUUGAGCAUCCAAUUUUAGUAUUUCACUACAUCUCAGUUGGUGGGUGUUAAGCUAGAAUGGGCCGUGUGAUAGGAAACAAAUGCCUUACAGAUGUGUCUAGGUGUUCUGUUUACCUAGUGUCUUACUCUGUUUUCUGGAUCUGAAGACUAGUAAUAAACUAGGACACUAACUGGGUUCCAUGUGAUUGCCCUUUCAUAUGAUCUUCUAAGUUGAUUUUUUUCCUCCCAAGUCUUUUUUAAAGAAAGUAUACUGUAUUUUACCAACCCCCUCUCUUUUCUCUUAGCUCUUCUGUGGUGAAUUAAACCUACUUGAGUUAAAA